CUCCGCUUGGUGUAGUUGGCUAUCGCGUCGGGCUGUAAUGGAAGUUUCAGAGAACCUGAAGGUCGCCUGUUCGAUCCAGGCAGCGGAGA